UGCUGUUAAAAAGCUCGUAGUUGGAUCAAGAGUCGGACAGUGCACGGUGGCCCUGUUUGUCAUAGUGGUUCCGAUCACUGUGGCGGCAGCGGAUCAACCCCGUGCGCCAAACUGUCCGCUCUAACAGACCGAAGCGGUUCCCUGUGAGUAGGCUCCUUAAUUGGGGCUGAAAGCGCUUACGCAUCAACCAUAUGCAUACGGGACGUCGGUCAAUGUUACUGUGAACAAACCAGCGUGUCCAAAACAGGCUUUUGCCUGAAUGUUCGAGCAUGGAAUAACAAGGGAUCGAUUCUCUCGGUUCUUUUUGUUGGUUUUUAACCCGAGAAGGAGUAAUUCAGGCCACGGUGUCUGAGUUGGGUUUCCCUUCACCUCGGUGGAGGCCCCAAUUAGGCCGUGUCCUUACGGGAUAAAUAGGGACUGACGGGGUCGUACGUACUUCCACGUCAGAGGUGAAAUUCUUAGAUCGUGGGAAGACGAACUUCUGCGAAAGCAUUCGACAAGAAUGUCUUCAUUAAUCAAGAACGAGAGUGUGGGGAUCGAAGAUGAUCAGAUACCGUCGUAGUCCACUACUGUAAACAAUGCCGUCUCAGGAUUGAGAAGUGAACAGAAUGACUUUCACAGCACUAACCCCUGAAACGA
rnacentral:rRNA from 1 species